rnacentral:lncRNA from 1 species
AACUCCAGUUUUAUUAUUUUUCUUAUAGUAUUUGAAACUCCAAAGACUGCCAUUGUUCCAAAGAGUAGAUAUAAGUAUAUAUGUUAUGGCAAGGAAGAGAUAUUAAGAAGCCACUAAAAAUAUGAAUUAUACCCAUGAUGACCAUGAGAAGUAAACUGAAGAAAUCGAAAACUUAUCACUUCAAUGAAGAAUGGGAACUCGAUUACUUUUUUACAAUGUUGAAUGAUGAAUGUUUAAUAUGCCUUACCUCAGUAGCCAUUGCUAAAAAGGGAAAUUUGUAGAGACAUGUUUUUAGCUUAACAUAACAAGUAUCAAACAUUGUUUUCUCGGUUCAGAAUUUGGUGAAUAAAGUUAGGGAUCAUUAAACUAAAUUAACAAAUCAAUAAAGCGUUUCUAAAGUCUCAAGCAGUAACUACUGCAUCAUUCAAAAUAAGCUACCUGAAAAAAAAAAUGUAAGCCAUUCUUAGACGGUGAAUUUGUGAAGGCAAUUUUCUUUAGAAAUGUCAGAUUCACAUUUUAACGAUUUUAAGAGCAAGAGUGAAAUUGUUGCUGCAAUUCAAGAUCUACAAUUGUCUCGAUCCCAGUGAAAUUGAAAGGAUGAGUGGGAAUGUAAAAGAGCAGUUACAUAAUUAUAUCAAUAGGUGUUCUUAUUUUCCCCUUCAGUAUGAUGAAUCGACAGAUAUAAGGCACAAUUGCUUGUUUUCGUUCGUAUGUAAAAUCCUUAUUUUACAUCUAAAGAAGAGUUGUAAAGUCUACUGCCGAAAAGCUAACUGAGGGAUUUAGAGCUGCGACGAUGCUAGUAAAGUUUGCGGAUGAUGAAAAUUAAGGAUUAUUUCUACGCAUCUUAGGUAUACUUUUUCAUUAUGAUCACGGCUAUCCAUUAUUUCACGUAUGUUACUGGUUCAUAUGGAUGUGAGAUUUAUGUAAUUUGAGUUUUCACAUGUUCGAUUUUAUCCUUCGGUUAUUUUUUGGACAUAAUUCGAAACAACUUAGCCGUUUUACAAGGGGUAGGGUUCUCGUUAACCCAGGUACCCUGGUGCUACACCGUUCCACUGGAGGAGAGUUGUUGGGUAUGAUUUCUCUGAAGGAAAGGACUAGAGGUGUAGACACAUUCAAAACCUUUUAAAAAGUUGCUCAACGAUUUAAAAGUACCUUUUUUAAAUUAGUUUCAAUAACAAAGGAUGGCGCAGCUGCAAUGAUAGGUAGCAUAAAUGGAUUUAUAGCCCUAUGUCAUAAGAAAGAUGAAUUCCCUGCCUUUAUCACUUCAUAAUUCACCAGCAAGUGUCAGCAAGAGACUAAACACAAAAGUGGUAAUGGACAUAGCAUUUAGGAUUGUUAAUUCCUUUCGAGGAAGUUCCCUCAAACGGCGUCUCGUCCAACUGCAGCUUAAUAAAGGCCAACCUGAAUUAUUACUACAUACCGAUGUCAGAUGGAUAAGCAAAGGUAAAUUUCUGCAACGAUUUCGUGAUUUAUUGCCUGAAAUUAGAGAUUUUCUUCACGAACAAGAUGGAAACUGAACAUUUAAAUGAUGAAACUUGGCUUAGUGACUUAGCAUUUCUGAUUUAACUUAAACAUUAAGUCAUUUAAAUUCAGAAUUACAAGGUAAAAAUAAAACUAAUUGAUGUGAUCAGCUCCAUAAAACAAAAUUUAUUUUGCUAAUAGAAGACCUGCAACAAAAUAGUCUGAAUAAUUUUCCAAAUAUGGCAGAUAACCUACAAAAAUAUUAAUUAUAAGAUCGACAAAUGUGUCUCGGAAAUCCAAAAAGUAAUUCAAGAUUCCGAGAUAAGAAUCAAGGAUUUUGAAAAACUUAAAGAAAUUGGGGAAUUCAUAUCUUUUUCUUUUAAAAAGAUUUAAGUGUGAAACGCAUUAACCAAAUAAAAGUCCGAAAAUUUGAAGAUUUUUAGAAAUAUGUCAACCGCGAAAAAUAUCCCAGUAUCAGCAAACGUAGCGAAUUUUUGUUUUGAAUCUACAUACCUAUGGGAAUCGGCAUUUUCAUACUUGAAACUAACGAAAGUUAAACAACGUUCUGUGCUGACCGAUUCACAUACUGAAGCCUCAUCAUUGUUAUCUUUGUCAGAAUAUACACCUAAUUACGAUUCUUUGGUUUAGGAACAUGCAAACACGGUGUUUCCAUUGAUGUUAAGGCAACAAAAUAAAUUCAAAAUCUCUAUCUGUAGCUAUUUUGAGUUAAUAAAUACUGUUAAUUAUCCA